ACCAGCAUGGCGUAGUGGUUUGAGCAUAGGACUGUGACUCUGGAGACCAGGGUUCGAAUCCUGGCUUGGCC